CCUAAGCAUACCUCUGAAGCAUGUGAAGGACCAUAAGGAACGUCAUGAGCAUGUCCUUUUGUUGUCCUUUUGUUGCGCUUACAAAAUAUAAAUCAACUUGAUUUUCUUUAAACAACUUGUAUCUACUUUAAAGAACAGGUAAACGGUUGUUAAGUAGACAUAGAGACACUUUCGUUUGGUUUUACUAAAACAAAGCUCAAUCAUUCACACAACCUUUCUCCUUAGAAAACACAACGUUUUAGCUCAGAGCAUAUCUAAUCUCAUUUCAUUUUUCACUUCAACUUCUGAGUUAAUGAAGUACAAAAACAUUAGUUUUGCGUAUGUCAGAAACCUUUUUAAAAGUCACACAUGAGAGUUUCUAACAUCAAAAACAAGACAGAAAAGAAUUCAUCAGCACAUAUUUCCCAAUCAGAAAUCUGACACAACUCUCUUUUCUAUUUCUCCAAGAGUGCCAGACUUAUGGUUUCCAUUUCUUGAGGCCAAGAGAAUGUAUCGAUAACUCAGACCUUUGGAAGAAAGUUUCAGAUCAUAGAGAUUGGAUCUCUUUCUCUUACCGGUCUACUUCGCUUUCUCUUACCGGUCUACUUCGCUUCCUAAAGCCGGUUCAACCUCCUCACCUGCAACAAUGAUUUUAAUCAGGUUCUGUUUCUAGCUAGGAGCAUAAAACAAUGACAAAUCCACAAGUAGAACUUGGUGCACCGCAUACAGUACUUUGACACUUGGUUUAAAAUGGCGAGUGGCGACGCCUAGCGAUGAAGUGAUCGAGUGUUGCCUAGCGCCAUGGCGACCAGAAGCGAGCGCCAUGUGUAUGCUCUGACAAAAAUUAAUCAAAGCCUAUAUACACUAAUGUUAAAAGCUCUAUGCGCUCAUGUUACGAUCUAAUUGGCUUUAUAGAAACUUAUUUUAAAAGCCAAAAACACCAAAUCCACUAGAAUUUAAUCUAAAAGUUCAAAACACCAUUAUAUAUAUUUUAAGCUUAAAUAGCACGAACACCAACUUAAUAGCAAAACAACAACUGAAAUUACCAAAUCAAAACACCAAUUCCUAAAGCUUUAAUACUCAGAUUUCGAAUCAUUUUCUUCCUUCUCUAAAUCUUUAGUGGAAGAGAAUUAUUAGCAAGGCCCAAAUAAAGACCGGAAGCCCAUUAUCUAAGCUCAUUGUAUCUAGGUUUUCUAGCAUAUUGAGUUGAUAUAAAUAUCUGUGUAAGGUCACUUUGCAAUGUAACGAAGGCUGCGUUGAAUGCAGCCUCUCCCUUCAUAUUUAUGAAUCAUUUACAAUCUUACUUAUCUUGGUGACAAGCAUAAAGAUUCUUCCUUUCUUUAGUUUCAUUGCACAAUAAAGCUUCUUAAAGCUAUUUCAUUUUCUGUGUCAAUAAGCUCUUAUGAGCAGAAUCUAUCUUGUUUUGAGUUUGUCUACAUGGUAUCAGAGCACCAGGGAGUAAAUCCUUGGAUCUAUGGGUUUUAUUUUCACCAGCUUCCAAUAUACAACCCUUUCUGUCACUAAAGCUCCAAACUUGCUUCACUCACGCUGCUCUCCUUCAGUCACGCUGGUACAAUUCACUCCAUGAAGCAAGAGGACGAAAUCAUCCAGCCUUUUCAACACCAGAACAACAAGACGUUUUCUUUAAGCUUCAGUUAGAUGAAGCUGUGUGUUUUCUGGGUAGCGAUGAAGCUGAAGCUGUGAAGUAGGGCUCAGAACAGACAGAGAAGAAAGAAAGACUUCCUCAUCACUUUAUGGACGGUAUUGUCUAUUUCUUUCUACUGAGACAGAACAAAAGAUGAAAAAUAAAUGUCUCUGUGUUGGAUUGAGUUGCUGGUUAGCUUAGAUUCUUGGGUUAAGAUAGGUUUGGAACCGAAGCUAUAAUGAAAUAGGCAGGUUUGGGUUUGUUGCGUGUGGAAGCUCUGGCUUUAAUGCUAAUGCACACAAAGUGCUCGCUGAAAUGCUCACAAGAAGGUCAGUUUGUUUAGAGGCAGAGUUUUGGUGAUAUUGAUGGGAAGCAGAGAGUGAGUAUAGUUGUAUUUGGUAGGUGUGGAAAGAGUGUUCUUCAUUAGACACAUUAGAAGGAUGAAAUGGGUAAAGUAAACCUAGAUUCAUAGUGAGACAAAUAGGCCACAAUUAUACCUCUGAGUGAGAUCAACUAAGCUCUCCAAGUUCAAGAGAAACCUCUGAGUGAAGCCAUGUGAUACUCUCCAAGUAUAGGUCUGAAUAGAUCUCACACUAAUGUUUGUCUACAAUGGUGAGUAGAACCAUUUGCUAACAUCUCAAGCAUCCUACUUCAUCUACUUAUGCUCAUUUCAAGCCAUAUCCAUCUGUGCUUUCAAACUCAGCGUAGCUGCUCCAUCCACGCUAAGUUUGCGGGGGAGUAUUAGCAAGGCCCAAAUAAAGACCGGAAGCCCAUUAUCUAAGCUCAUUGUAUCUAGGUUUUCUAGCAUAUUGAGUUGAUAUAAAUAUCUGUGUAAGGUCACUUUGCAAUGUAACGAAGGAUGCGUUGAAUGCAGCCUCUCCUUUCAUAUUUAUGAAUCAUUUACAAUCUUACUUAUCUUGGUGACAAGCAUAAAGAUUCUUCCUUUCUUUAGUUUCAUUGCACAAUAAAGCUUCUUAAAGCUAUUUCAUUUUCUGUGUCAAUAAGCUCUUAUGAGCAGAAUCUAUCUUGUUUUGAGUUUGUCUACAAGAAUGAGGGUUUGCAUAUAAACCUUACGUAUGGUCUUACUAAACCAGUUUAAAUCAAACUAAUGGUAUUGCAGAAUCAUCUCCUCUCUUUGCAGCCUCGCGAAACUGAGCAAACACACCAUCAAUUUUCAGAAAAUUUUCUCUUAAACUAAUGGUAUUGCUCAUAUUCAGCUAAAAAGGCAUUAGAUAAAAAAAAAAGCUGCACAUUUAGUUACCUGUUUUGCCCACUCUUCACGCCUAGUUCUCUUCAGAUAGUUUUGGACAAACAACCUGUCCGUUGAAAUCAGUUUGCAUAUACCGGUUAAUACUUUCUUUAAGGUUUGCCUUUGUAUAUUCUUCUUGCUAAGCCAACGGAGCAAUCCAAACCUUUGAGCAGUUGAAGAAGCUCACCUAUUUCAGCCUUAAAUCUGAAAGAUCCAGGGCCAAUCACUUGACUUUUGCAAUCGUAUAAAGCAUCUACAGCCUACACACCAAAAGUUUUAUCUUUGAAUAAGCACUCAACUCCGUACCCAGUCGUUCUUUAACAAAUGAAGAACUUUACGCAUGUCUUGAUGAUCUUUUGCUAACAUGGACAACGGACUGAGCAGUUUGUUCGUUAAUGGGCUUUACCAAGAGGCGUUGUCAAAGUAUGCGCUUGCUUUAGAGCUUGUUCCGGAGUUUCCCGAAUGCACAGAGCUUCGGUCUAUAUGCCGUUUAAACAGAGGAGUGUGCCUCUCUGAGGAAGAGCUUCAGCUUCUCUGCGAAUACACAUCCAGCCAAUAUCACACUUCUGCGUGGAAAUCAUGAAAGUAGGCAGCUAACGCAUGUAUACAUUAUCCCUGAGUAGAUGUAUUUGUGUCUGUAGCUAAGCUGAAGGAGAUGGGAAACUCAAUUUUGGGUCGAUUUGGGAAGAGCAUGGACAACUUCAAGGCUGUUAAAGAUCCCAACACUGGCUCCUACUCUCUUUCUUUCCAAAACUGGUCACUAUAUCAUUAUGUUGUUCUUUCUACCACUUGAUUUAUAGCAACAAAAUGUUUAAUAAUAUUGCAAUGUGUUAUGUUCUUGACGCAUUGGUAGUGAAAUGAUGAGCAAUCUUUUUUGGAUUUUA